CCUACGGGAGGCAGCAGUGGGGAAUAUUGGACAAUGGGCGAAAGCCUGAUCCAGCAACGCCGCGUGAGGGAUGACGGCCUUCGGGUUGUAAACCUCUUUCAGCACAGACGAAGCGAAAGUGACGGUAUGUGCAGAAGAAGCACCGGCCAACUACGUGCCAGCAGCCGCGGUAAUACAUAGGGUGCGAGCGUUGUCCGGAAUUAUUGGGCGUAAAGGGCUCGUAGGCGGUUUGUUGCGUCAGGAGUGAAAACUCGGGGCUUAACCCCGAGCCUGCUUCUGAUACGGGCAGACUAGAGGUAUGCAGGGGAGAACGGAAUUCCUGGUGUAGCGGUGAAAUGCGCAGAUAUCAGGAGGAACACCGGUGGCGAAGGCGGUUCUCUGGGCAUUACCUGACGCUGAGGAGCGAAAGUGUGGGGAGCGAACAGGAUUAGAUACCCUGGUAGUCCACACCGUAAACGUUGGGCGCUAGGUGUGGGACUCAUUCCACGAGUUCCGUGCCGCAGCUAACGCAUUAAGCGCCCCGCCUGGGGAGUACGGCCGCGAAGGCUAAAACUUAAAUGAAUUGACGG
rnacentral:rRNA from 1 species